rnacentral:rRNA from 1 species
UGCAGUCGUGCGGGAAAGGGCUUCGGCCCUAGUACCGCGGCAGACGGGUGAGUAACACGUGAGUAACCUGUCCUCGGGUCUGGGAUAACCAUCCGAAAGGAUGGCUAAUACCGGAUAAAGUCACCGGGCGCAAGCUCGGUGAUGAAAGGGGGCCUCUGCAUAGCAAGCUCCUGCCUGAGGAGGGGCUCGCGGCCCAUCAGCUAGUUGGUGGGGUAACGGCCCACCAAGGCUAUGACGGGUAGCCGGCCUGAGAGGGUGGUCGGCCACACGGGCACUGGGACACGGGCCCGACUCCUACGGGGGGCAGCAGUGGGGAAUCUUGGGCAAUGGGCGAAAGCCUGACCCAGCGACGCCGCGUGGGGGAAGAAGGCCUUCGGGUCGUAAACCCCUGUUCUGGGGGAAGAACCCUGACUGGGUUAAGAGCUCAGUCAGGCUGACGGUACCCCAGGAGAAAGCCACGGCUAACUGCGUGCCAGCAGCCGCGGUAAUACGCAGGUGGCGAGCGUUGCCCGGAAUUACUGGGCGUAAAGGGUGCGUAGGUGGCCGGACAAGUCGUAGGUUAAAGCCCGGGGCUCAACCCCGGAAAGGCCUACGAUACUGUCUGGCUUGAGGGCUGGAGAGGCUGGCGGAAUUCCCGGUGUAGGGGUGAAAUCCGUAGAUAUCGGGAGGAACACCGGAGGGGAAGCCGGCCAGCUGGACAGCUCCUGACACUGAGGCACGAAAGCGUGGGGAGCAAACCGGAU